CUUAUCCUGUUGGCAGUACUACGAAGUCCUUAAAUUAUGAAAGUUCUUUGUGGAGUGGUGUGCGCCUUGAAUCCCAGCACGCGGGAGGCAGAGGCAGCCGAAUCUCUGCAGAGGAAGACGGCCAGCAGCUGCUCCGUGCACUGAGUCAGAGGCUGGUGAAGAAUCCGCAGGAUGGCACAGCAGGAAGGAAAGACUGGGAGUCUACUCAGGAGUGGUGAUGAACGGUUGUGAAGCUGGCUUUCAAUGGAAACCUAAGAUCCUUUCUGCCAUUAAGAGCUGGAAGGCAUUUAUACAGAGUUGCAGCGUUCUGAAUCAAUACAGCUUUGCUACUUAAUUCACAUAACCAUCAUUUCAGAGAUGAAGAAUCAAAGCUCCCAAUAGGCAGCAGGUCAAGCGAGGACAUCAAGACUGAGUGUUUCCCUGAGACAGAAGCUACCUCCCCUGGAAGCACGCUGGUCAGGACGCCAGGUGGUUUUUCCAGGUAAGUACGAGGAACAACAGCUACAGACUUCUAGAGAAGCUAACACUUCCCUGUGCAGGACUGCUCGCUCCUCGUCAGUUAGACCUGUUCUUUUUGAUUCCCAGCUGAGGGUGGUUUGCUCCCUCUGGAACACACUUGGCAAGGUCCAGCAUAUUACAACCGGAUCUGUGCGCUGCUGGCAUGUGGUUUUUUUUUAAGUGUCAUGUAAUGCACCACACAACAAGGAAUUGAUUAUCUAUCUACCUAGGACCCUUGCAUGCACUGUUAGAAAACCCCUUAGGUCACGGCUUAGAAACAGUCAUUUUUAAGACUGGGCCUCUGGAAAGAUGCCAAGUUUUCCUGCCGUCCUGCAGUCCAGACUCACACAGUAGUAGCAGCUCCAGCCGGUGUCGGUGUGGGCCAACUCUGUCACCUCCGCUGCACUGUUUCCUUGGAGGUAGCCCAUGCGGCGCAGACAGCCGUCGUGGAAGACCCUGGUGCAGACGCGGCAUGGGAAGAGGCUCUCAGCGGUCCAGACUUCGCAGAUAUCACACAUCUCAUCAUUGACAACCUGGCCGGAAUGAACAGGAUUUGAAAGUACAGAGAGCAAGAUCCUACGGGCUGCUGUGUGGGACUGGGUCUCUCUGGAGCCACGGUGAAGGGUAAGAGUGUUCUUCCUGGUGGAUGAGAACCAGGAAGCUCUUCUAGAUGCUUAGGGCCCUGUUACUGUGUUUCUGGGAUACAACUGGCACUUCAUAGAAAAUAAUCUGUGUGAGUGAUUGUCCCAAGCACUAUAUGACAUCAACAUCCCCAGCGGUCUUAAUACUAUCUAUAUGCCAUAGAACCCCCAGUCAUUGUAACUUACCUCAGUUCCCCUUUCUAAUUUCCCAAGGUCCCCUACAAGGGUUAGUACCUUCUGUGGUUGAGAAUUCAUAGAUAGGAUUAGUUCAAGCUUUGUCAUGCCGCCAUUCCUUCCCACUCAAAAGUCCAAGUCUUUCACUAUGACUAAUCCAAGCUAUACUUAGUAUUUUAUUCUUAUGAAAUAUUGCUUCCCUUUGUGGUACUGGGGAUAGAGAGACUUGAACACGCAAGGCAAGCACUCUACAAAGAGACACAUUUAAACCCGUCUUGUGGGGCAAGGACUGUUCUGAACCCAGCUCCCUCUUCUGGUUCCAAGUCUCACCUCAACCACACCUAGUUUUCCCUGUCCUGUUCUUUGAUCCUUAUAAGGGCGAAGACAGGGGAAUCCUGCCUUAACGGAACACUCACAGGCUCCCGGGGAUCCAGGCAGAUAUCUGGAGGUUUGUCAUCAUCCAGCUUCCGGGUGGGCCGGAUGAAGGCAGGAGGUGUGAAUCGACUGGUCCUGUCAAACUCCUCAGGCUCAACUCCACGCCCAUCCCGGAGCCGCUCCCAGGCUGCACGGUUGAUGCUGCUCUCUUCCUGAACCACAGGGGCACUGGUCUCUGCCUCUUUUUCUUCCUGUACUUCCUGAACAGAGCCCUCCACAGUGCCGCGGCGGGACCCUGGUAGCUCACCCCCACGUCUGAUGGAAGGCCUGUCCCGUAGUCCAUCCUUGAAGGCCGACACAGCCAGGCUCACCUUCUGCACCUGCUCUACGGUCUGCCGCUUGGACAUCAGCACCCCCAUGGCUCUGUGGACAAAAUCAGUUUUAUCCAUUCACGGAAAAGGCAGAACCACAGUACAGCGUGGGAGAGUAAGGACACGACACAGUGCAUUGCAAAGCUGGUCUACGCCUUCCUACUCUCAGAAGCCUCACUGGAAGAUGGCCGGGGAAUGUCUGCUCUAGCAGAACAACAGUCCACGUUAACCUUGUGCUCAACACACGCUAAUCAAGGCUUAUUGAAUGGUGCCACGUUCACGUCACUAAGUACCCACCAUCAGAAACGGAGACGGAUAGCACCACACCACACACGCUUUUAAACGUCAGACUCCAAGGAAGAACUCCAGGACGACUUAGAGAGAGCUGAGACAGGACAGACAGACCGACUAUCCAUACAAUGGAAUAGCCUUCUCUUACAAAACAGUGUAGACACACAUGAAACAUGGGUGAGCCUGGGAAGGAGACAGUCAUGUGAGGGCAGAGGUUCUGUGAUUCCGUUUCUGUGACAUGGCCAGGAAAUCUAGGGAAAUAAAAUAAACUGGUGCUUCCCUAAGUCUGCAGAGAGCUCGUGGGUGGGUGU